rnacentral:snRNA from 13 species
AGCUUUGCGCAGUGGCAGUAUCGUAGCCAAUGAGGUUUAUCCGAGGCGUGAUUAUUGCUAAUUGUUUUGUUUUUCUGCUACUGACCUUUUGCUUGUUUGCCUGUUCAAGGUUGAACAUUUGCCUUGUGCACCCUGUGGGAUUAUCUGCAGUUAAAAUAUAUUG